GGAGAUGAGAACAGAACCUCGCAGACCUGAGCUGGAUUCCUGCCCGCUUGAGGAAGCAAAAAGACAGAGAGGCAUCAGGGGACUUUGAGGGAGAGAUCCCGCAGGGACCGAUGGGGUCAGGGGUCUCUGAAGACUCACCAACGCACUUCUCUCAGGAAAGAGUCUGUGUCUCACUCUGGCUUAAGCACAAAGCCAGUUGAAGCAGAUGGUACGGAUCAAUUGGUUCUCUACAAAAAGCAUGACUACAAAGAGGAAGUCCUGCAUCCCUCCAUCACACCCCAGGUGAAGUGCAAAGAUUCGGAUAUACAACAAAGAGCAAAAUCACAAUCACUCAUGAUAUAACAGCCAGACGCCACUGUUGCUAGAAUUUGAGAAAGUCUCCUUCUCUACUUUUUAUCUAUGCCUGG